CGCUGCCCCCACCCCCCGACCUAGAAAAUUCCGGAGUGACUACUGCUACUUGCUCCAGCGGACAGAUAGUUAGAAGCCCACCAUCCCCAAUUUAAAAAAAGGGAGCAGGACAUGGAUUUGAAUACCGCCACACCACUACCAUCUCCGGCUGCCCUGCCCAGCCCAUGGAUUUAGCCGUAGCUGCUACUGCUACACCAUGGCACGUUUCCUAAACAUAUACUCCUACUGAUAUAAAAUCCCAGGCAGGCUUUGGAAGUGGACUGAGAUUUAUACAUAGUAAUUUUCUUUUAUAUUUAUUAGUAUUAGCAGUCCCCCAAUCCACACCCCAAUAUAGUACUAGUAGUCGUAGUUCGGUGGAGCCGCAGACGGAAUUUCCCAGGACGGUCGCAAUUCUCAAUUGGAAUUAAGCUGCUUCUACUUCCUGCUCCUACAUCCAACUCCACCUCAUAAUCCACACGACUCCUGUCCUCGGAUCUUUGGAUAAUUAUCUAAUAUUCUACUCUAGUUGUUUCGCAAUUCGGUACACAAUACAACUGCUGAUACUAGUAUGAUACUGGUGGCCAUAGUGGCGGAGCUGUUGGAGGAGUACACGGUGUUGGUGGCUAGGGUGCUGGAGCAUAUGUUCAACCAGGCUCCCCUCCCCUUCCCUCCGCGGAGGAAAAAAAAAAAACUAAAAACAAAAACAGAUCCCUGGCGGCGAAUAAUGCUGGAUCAAAGAGUUGAUAAAAAAUUUCUGGAAUGUCGUACAGACCAAUCCCUAGCAUCCCCUGCUCUCUGUAUUAACUAUUAAGUAAGUAGCACGUAAUUGUCCGGGUUUGUUAACCUUAGUCGCACGUAGUUGUCCUGGUUUGUAGCUCCACGGAUUCCGUUGCAGGAGGCCCGCAACUUUCGAUCCAGAGGUCUAAAGUCCGGUCAAACCAUAGAUCAAAAAUAGGGCGCGACUAGAUUCAACUUAUCACUAAAUACUUUGAUAAGAUUGAAGUUUGAAAAUUAAAAAUUUAAAUUUAAAUUUGUUAAGUGAUUCAAGUGUUAAAAUACUAAAUUUAAUAUAUUUGAGCAUAUUUUUACAAAA